rnacentral:lncRNA from 1 species
AUACCCUUCACUCUUGCUGCUAUCUUUCGGUCCCAGAUCACCCCUGACACUCAUCUCUGCACACCCCACUUUGCCUGUACAGUCUUCUUCAACUCUUAUGCAGUUUUCGUUGGUUUUGAUGGUUGACCCCAGGUAUUUAAACUCAUCAGCCUUCACACCUCUACCUCUUGCAGCUUCAGUGUUACACAUAGAUGAUUAUAGAUGGCAUUCCAUUGAUGCCUGCUACAUGCCCUCAAAAUACCAGAUAUUAGGUAUAAAAAAAAUCGUUUUGAUUAUGUUAUACUAAGGGCUCACACAUUUGCAUAAAUACAAGUUCCAGUAACUUGGUUACCCACUUACCAAUAAAGUUGACUUCGCUGCUGUUUAACCUCAUUAGCAUGUCGAUAUGUUGAUUGGACAGGAUGUCUUUGGUCCCUCCCCUGUUGAAACACAGCCUUUAAUCCCUGGUAAUCUCCUCAUCUACUGAGAGCCCACAGUCAUGGCUGCACCAGAGGAAAAUUUGCUGUCUCUUGGGCGUCUGAACGGCUCAGAAAAAAACACUUUCACCAAAGAAAGACAAUUCUGUGGAAAUAAGAGUGUUAACAAGCCGGUAUUGUUGCAAGAUGACCCUUCAGCUCUUCACAGUCAGGAACAUCUAGUGAUGCACCUGCAGCAACGCUGGCAGGAGCUGAAGGAAAGAGAGUACACAGCGCAGCAACAAAACAGGCAGCUGCUGCAGCAGUUUGAGAGAGCCCAGGACACACUGAAAGAGAUGCUGGCCCGCAAUGCUGCCAUGAAAAUGAUUCGGAUGGAGUAUGAGAGAUACCUGGAGGAGAACUCCCCCCGCUGGCAGCAGCAACUUAAGGAGAAGAGACAGGCAGCUCAGAAGAAGAAAAUGGACGACUAUUUGAAGUCAUGUUUAAAGAACACGGACGUGAUGAAAUCUUCUGCAGGUCCACCCACGGAGCCACAAAAAACUGCUACACCUCAAGGUUACACUGACUACAACCAAGAUGGCUCCUCCCAUCUUCCCCACACACGGUCCUCCUGGUUGAGCCGCAGUCAAUCCCAGAUAGCCAGAUUUCCUACCAGAGUUCCACCCAUCAUUCCUCACCCAUAUCCGCUUUACUAUCCCGCCUCCGCACCCGGACAGUACCAUCAUCCCUGGCCAAGGCAAGAUCUACAAGGCAGGGCUUCCCUACAGCCUGACUACCCCUGGUACCUGCCUGCUGGUGCAACUGGAACUCCAUCAUACUCCGAGGCCCUGUGGGGCCAGCUUUAUAUGGAGGAGCCUUUACGUGACUCAAGGGUUUCGCAGACUGUAGGAGAGGAGGAUAAAAUGAGCAGAGUGCUGAGCUCACAGAGGGAGAGGAGUGUCAGAAGCAGCAGCAGUCGUUCGUCCCACGAGUUAGACGUUAAACCAGUCCGUCUGUCCAGCAGUCACAGUGAGAGCAGUGAGAGUGGCAGGGACUCCAGCAAAAAGGCGGGGAAGGAGGAGAAGGGAGGAAGAAAACAGCGUGUCUCUUCAGACAGAGAGAGAUGCAGCCCUCAGGAGUUAUCUGGGAAUUCGAGUGCCAUUUUCAGUCCCACAGUUGGAGUGGCCCAAAGUUCAGAAAGCAAUGACUCGUCAGAGAAAAGCCUGAGGAGCAGUAGCAGAAGGACAAAGAAAACUGGGGAUCUUUCUGUUCAAUCACCAGGAUCUCAGAAGGAGGCAGAGGAAAGGACUGUGAGUAAGGGAGGUGACUCCGAGAUUCAGGACACUGGUGAGGAGUCAGGAAGUUUGAGUGAGACAUACGAGGGUGAAAAAGCAGGGAAUCAAAAUCAUGAAGAGAAAACAAACAGAUGCAAAGAGUCAGGAUCCCAGAAGGAGAAGGAAUCAGAAAGUGACAGUGCAAAGAAUAAAAAUGAUGAUGCCGGUGAAGUAGAAGAGCAGGACAGUAGCAGCGCUGAGCAAAGCAGCACAGGAGAAAAAGUUAAAGAUAAGACAGAGGAAAACCUGGAAGCUGAAGAAGACGGUGAAGAAAAAGAGAAGAGUCAAAAAGAUAAAGAACAAGAUGACUACGAUAUCAAACAAGGUGAUGGUGCUUCUGCCAAGGACGCAACAGAGGAGGAAGCAGAGACAUCUACAGAUGAUGAAAUAGAGGAGCAGGGAGGUGAAGAACAGUCAAUCAGGCUGAAGAACGAAGGCACUGAGAACAGAAAACAGGGUGCUGCCUCCUCUCAGGACGAAGAGGAUGGAAGUGAAGGCAGUGAAGAAGAGGAUGAGGACUCGAAUCAACAGGAGGAUGACAAAAGUGAGGAAGAGGAACACGGGAGUGAGGAAGAUCAGAUAGAUUCAGACAACUGCAUCGUCACACCACAAGAAAAGAGAUCUACACAGAUUAUAACUGAUGAGGCAGCUCAGGAACAGGAAGAGGGUAAAACAGGAUCUGAUAAUGAUGACUCAAACGAAGUCAGUGAUGAAGAUGAUAUUGAGAACCUUCUUGCGCCUCAAGAAGAAACACAGGAAAAAGAAAAGUAUCUGAGAGCUGAAGAGAAGCCCAAAGCAAGUUUUCCCAACAUGGGAAUUUUUCAAGUGGAGCAUGACAAGUCGAAGACGGAGGACCCAAAUGACUCUGAUGAGUUCGAUCAUUUUUAUGACUAA